UCGCGCCUCAGGACGCCGGCCCGGAGAUCCCGCCCCCAGCCGCGGCCAGAUCUCCCCUACCCGGUCUCCGCGCGGCCCCCGCUGGCCCCAAGAAGGCCCAAGACAUAAGAUGCGCAACUGCCAGUUCUGUGUCACACAAGGUUUUACAACAACCAGGCAGCACAUGAAAGAGGAUUCACCAUCAAGCACUCUGGAGUUAUGAAAAUGGACCUGAAAUUUAUUUUCCCCUUU